CCUAUGGGUGGCAGCAGUGGGGAAUAUUGCACAAUGGGCGAAAGCCUGAUGCAGCAACGCCGCGUGAAGUCCGCCUGUUUUCUUCUCCUCCCCUUCUCUCCCCCGUGCCGCCCGCCCUGCCGGUACCUGAAUAAGAAGCCCCGGCUAACUACGUGCCAGCAGCCGCGGUAAUACGUAGGGGGCAAGCGUUAUCCGGACUUACUGGGUGUCCCGGUGGAGUAGGCGGCAUGGUCCGCCAGCUGUGCACGCCUUGGGCUUAACCCGAGGAUUGCAUUUGGCACUAUCAAGCUAGAGUCCAGGAGAGGAAAGCGGAAUUCCUAGUGUAGCGGUGAAAUGCGUAGAUAUUAGGAAGAACAUCAGUGGCGAAGGCGACUAUCUGGCACAUAACUGACGCUGAGGAGCGAAAGCGUGGGUAGCAAACAGGAUUAGAUACCCGUGUAGUC
rnacentral:rRNA from 1 species